rnacentral:rRNA from 1 species
CCUACGGGUGGCAGCAGUCGAGAAUCAUUCACAAUGGGGGAAACCCUGAUCGCGCGACGCCGCGUGGGUGAAUGAAGGUCUUCGGAUUGUAAACCCCUGUCAUGUGGGAGCAAAUUAAAAAGAUAGUACCACAAGAGGAAGAGACGGCUAACUCUGUGCCAGCAGCCGCGGUAAUACAGAGGUCUCAAGCGUUGUUCGGAACCACUGGGCGUAAAGCGUGCGUAGGCUGUUUCGUAAGUCGUGUGUGAAAGGCGCGGGCUCAACCCGCGGACGGCACCUGAUACUGCUAGACUAGAGGAAUGGAGGGGGAACCGGAAUUCUCGGUGUAGCGGUGAAAUGCGUAGAGAUCGAGAGGAACACUCGUGGCGAAGGCGGGUUCCUGGACAUUAACUGACGCUGAGGCACGAAGGCCAGGGGAGCGAAAAGGAUUAGAUACCCCGGUAGUC